rnacentral:rRNA from 1 species
UACGUAGGGGGCAAGCGUUGUCCGGAAUCAUUGGGCGUAAAGCGCGUGUAGGCGGUUCGGUAAGUCUGCUGUGAAAGUCCAGGGCUCAAACCUGGGAUGCCGGUGGAUACUGUCGGACUAGAGUACGGAAGAGGCGAGUGGAAUUCCCGGUGUAGCGGUGAAAUGCGCAGAUAUCGGGAGGAACACCAAUUGCGAAGGCAGCUCGCUGGGACGUUACUGACGCUGAGACGCGAAAGCGUGGGGAGCAAACAGG